rnacentral:rRNA from 1 species
GAGUUUGAUCAUGGCUCAGAUUGAACGCUGGCGGCAGGCCUAACACAUGCAAGUCGAGCGGCAGCACGGGGAGCUUGCUCCCUGGUGGCGAGCGGCGGACGGGUGAGUAAUGCAUGGGAAUCUGCCCGGUAGUGGGGGAUAACCCGGGGAAACCCGGGCUAAUACCGCAUACGUCCUACGGGAGAAAGCAGGGGAUCUUCGGACCUUGCGCUAUCGGAUGAGCCCAUGUCGGAUUAGCUUGCUGGUGAGGUAACGGCUCACCAGGGCGACGAUCCGUAGCUGGUCUGAGAGGAUGAUCAGCCACACCGGGACUGAGACACGGCCCGGACUCCUACGGGAGGCAGCAGUGGGGAAUAUUGGACAAUGGGGGAAACCCUGAUCCAGCCAUGCCGCGUGUGUGAAGAAGGCUUUCGGGUUGUAAAGCACUUUCAGCGGGGAAGAAGGCAUGGCGGCUAAUACCCGCCAUGAAGGACAUCACCCGCAGAAGAAGCACCGGCUAACUCCGUGCCAGCAGCCGCGGUAAUACGGAGGGUGCAAGCGUUAAUCGGAAUUACUGGGCGUAAAGGGCGCGUAGGCGGCCUGCCAAGCCGGAUGUGAAAGCCCCGGGCUCAACCCGGGAACGGCAUUCGGAACUGGCAGGCUAGAGUGCAGGAGAGGAAGGUGGAAUUCCCGGUGUAGCGGUGAAAUGCGUAGAGAUCGGGAGGAAUACCAGUGGCGAAGGCGGCCUUCUGGACUGACACUGACGCUGAGGCGCGAAAGCGUGGGUAGCAAACAGGAUUAGAUACCCUGGUAGUCCACGCCGUUAACGAUGUCGACCAGCCGUUGGACCCCCUGAGGGUCUGGUGGCGCAGUUAACGCAAUAAGUCGACCGCCUGGGGAGUACGGCCGCAGGGCUAAACUCAAAUGAAU